GCCUUUUCCACCUCAGAUCCCCCUGUCCUACCCAUCCUAGCUUUAACUCAGCCAUAAUUGCCUUGCUUAAUCCCAGAAACCUGGCCACUGCUCCUUGGUCCUUGGCAUUAUGACGGGAUUCCCUUGUCACCUCUGACAGUUCCUGGCUGCGGUGUCCGCGGACUGGCUGGGGAGUGAUGACAGGUAGCCAUCAGAGCUCCAGCCUCCAGGCAGCUUUAGGGAUUAAAACGGAGGCCAAAGCAACUCCAGACCUGUUUUUAUAGCCAAAUACUGAGCCUCAGGGGUUGUACACUCAGGGGCUUCCAGGAAAAUGCCAGCCUUACUUUUCUGGGGUGCCUUUUAAUAACCUCCAAGCACUUUAUGGACUGUUUGUCGAGGGACAGUGAAUCAGGAGAAUCACUAUUCUGAUUUCCUUUGUCUCCGAAGAGGAAGUCCCUGACUAGCUAUAUAACUUUGGGCAAGUUACUUCUCACCUCUUUGUGCCCCAGUGUUUUCCUUGGGAAACUGGAUUUAGGUUAGAUGAUCUUUUAAGGCUCCUUGUAUGAUACUUUGUGAUCUGUACAUGGCAGAGUAUAGAUUAGAAGCCACAUUUUCGAACCUAGUGCUAUGGUUCAGAAUACAUAGCACCCCAAGCGUCUGGCUGGGGCCGAGGAUGGGUCUUCCAGUUUUUGGCACAGAUGUUCCGGAGCCCAGGAAGCAUCCCAUGACCAACCUUCAGCCCCACCCCCACCCCAGCGAAUUCCGGAGCCGCUUCCAAACCACAGCCUAUCCUCUGCUCCAUUUCGCUCUUGCCCUCACAGACCUUCAGCCUCCAUGCUCUGAGACAACUGUGGAAGGGAUGGAAACCCUAUUUUCUUUUCUCCAAGACCAUGGUUGGUCUACUUCCCUCACUCGGGCUCCUUGACAGUCUUCUAGAAGAAAGAAGGAGGAAAAGAAGCAGUUCCUGAUGUUACAAAUGAACAAGGAUCUCCCAGCCUUAGUCUUUGAGAAAAGAUGGCUGAAAGAGAGGAACUCUCCAAGUCAUUCCGCAAACAAAUGCCCAUUUAAACAUCAUCCUUGUCUUGUGAAGAAAACAGGAAGAAUGUCAUGCACCAUGUGGAUCACCUUCAGUUCAAAGUUGCAGCAAAGUGAAGAAAGAAACUACUGGAAGCCACCCAGCAAUGCACUGUUUAGUCAUCAAUUAGGAGCCCACAGGAGGAUAAUAGGGAGACUGGGUGGAGGCUCAGUGUGUAAUAAUCUCUUGUGUGUAAUAAUCUCUUGUCUAAUGUAUGUGUGUCACUGCCAUGUUGUAUUAACAAUAGUGAGGGCUCACAUUUACUUAACACUUGUGUGCUCAAAUCUGGGUUUUUUUUUCUUUCCAGAACUAUGACUCGAUCAUAAAAUCUGUUUUGUUUGCAUGCAUGCCCAGAACAACCCUAUGAGUAGAACAUUAUCAUUAUCUCUGUUUUAGAGAUGAGGAAACAGGCUCAGAGAAGCUCAGUAAUUUGUUCAAGAUCGCACAGCUAGUAAAUGGCGGAAGUAGGAUUGUGAACCCAGGGAAUCUCCAGAGCCUCUGUGUAACCAUGAUGUUAUAUUUCUUUCCUCUUUAAAAACAAAAUUAAAAACCUUG
rnacentral:sRNA from 1 species